CAAGAAGUAGCUUAUACCACCUUAAAGUAUUCAACUUACAAUUGAACGAUGUCUCCCCAAAGACCUUUUUGA
rnacentral:tRNA from 2 species